rnacentral:rRNA from 1 species
GAUGAACGCUGGCGGCGUGCCUAAUACAUGCAAGUCGAGCGAACGGACGAGAAGCUUGCUUCUCUGAUGUUAGCGGCGGACGGGUGAGUAACACGUGGAUAACCUACCUAUAAGACUGGGAUAACUUCGGGAAACCGGAGCUAAUACCGGAUAAUAUUUUGAACCGCAUGGUUCAAAAGUGAAAGACGGUCUUGCUGUCACUUAUAGAUGGAUCCGCGCUGCAUUAGCUAGUUGGUAAGGUAACGGCUUACCAAGGCAACGAUGCAUAGCCGACCUGAGAGGGUGAUCGGCCACACUGGAACUGAGACACGGUCCAGACUCCUACGGGAGGCAGCAGUAGGGACUCUUCCGCAAUGGGGGAAAGCCUGACGGAGCAACGCCGCGUGAGUGAUGAAGGUCUUCGGAUCGUAAAACUCUGUUAUUAGGGAAGAACAUAUGUGUAAGUAACUGUGCACAUCUUGACGGUACCUAAUCAGAAAGCCACGGCUAACUACGUG